rnacentral:misc_RNA from 1 species
CCCUGAUUGGUAAUUUUGGACAAGUAACUCGGUACUCGAUGAACUCUAACUAGAAUGAAUGUGCGAUAGUUAUGAGGGUGAAGAGCAAGAGCAGUAGAAACCCUAGCCGGACGGAUAGUAUCGCCAGAGAGAAGAUAUCAACGAUAAGAGGGAAUGAGGUUCAAAUGCUAAGAUCGAAAUCGAGUAAAAUUACGAGAGACACACAAAAGAAAUAGAUGAACACGAUGGGGGAUAAAUGUGGAAAGGGAAUGAAGCGGCGUUGAGGAAAAAGCAACAGGUGUG